rnacentral:rRNA from 1 species
GAUGAACGCUGGCGGCGUGCCUAAUACAUGCAAGUCGAGCGAACAGACGAGGAGCUUGCUCCUCUGACGUUAGCGGCGGACGGGUGAGUAACACGUGGAUAACCUACCUAUAAGACUGGGAUAACUUCGGGAAACCGGAGCUAAUACCGGAUAAUAUAUUGAACCGCAUGGUUCAAUAGUGAAAGACGGUUUUGCUGUCACUUAUAGAUGGAUCCGCGCCGCAUUAGCUAGUUGGUAAGGUAACGGCUUACCAAGGCAACGAUGCGUAGCCGACCUGAGAGGGUGAUCGGCCACACUGGAACUGAGACACGGUCCAGACUCCUAAGGGAGGCAGCAGUAGGGAAUCUUCCGCAAUGGGCGAAAGCCUGACGGAGCAACGCCGCGUGAGUGAUGAAGGUCUUCGGAUCGUAAAACUCUGUUAUUGGGGAAGAACAAAUGUGUAAGUAACUAUGCACGUCUUGACGGUACCUAAUCAGAAAGCCACGGCUAACUACGUG